rnacentral:piRNA from 1 species
UGGAGUACUUAUGGUGCAUAUGUAGA